rnacentral:rRNA from 1 species
CGAACGCUGGCGGCGUGCUUAACACAUGCAAGUCGAACGGAAAGGCCCUGCUUUUGUGGGGUGCUCGAGUGGCGAACGGGUGAGUAACACGUGAGUAACCUGCCCUUGACUUUGGGAUAACUUCAGGAAACUGGGGCUAAUACCGGAUAGGAGCUCCUGCUGCAUGGUGGGGGUUGGAAAGUUUCGGCGGUUGGGGAUGAACUCGCGGCUUAUCAGCUUGUUGGUGGGGUAGUGGCUUACCAAGGCUUUGACGGGUAGCCGGCCUGAGAGGGUGACCGGCCACAUUGGGACUGAGAUACGGCCCAGACUCCUACGGGAGGCAGCAGUGGGGAAUAUUGCACAAUGGGCGGAAGCCUGAUGCAGCAACGCCGCGUGCGGGAUGACGGCCUUCGGGUUGUAAACCGCUUUCGCCUGUGACGAAGCGUGAGUGACGGUAAUGGGUAAAGAAGCACCGGCUAACUACGUG